rnacentral:rRNA from 1 species
GGUUAAGCGACUAAGCGUACACGGUGGAUGCCCUGGCAGUCAGAGGCGAUGAAGGACGUGCUAAUCUGCGAUAAGCGUCGGUAAGGUGAUAUGAACCGUUAUAACCGGCGAUUUCCGAAUGGGGAAACCCAGUGUGAUUCGUCACACUAUCAUUAACUGAAUCCAUAGGUUAAUGAGGCGAACCGGGGGAACUGAAACAUCUAAGUACCCCGAGGAAAAGAAAUCAACCGAGAUUCCCCCAGUAGCGGCGAGCGAACGGGGAGCAGCCCAGAGCCUGAAUCAGUGUGUGUGUUAGUGGAAGCGUCUGGAAAGGCGCGCGAUACAGGGUGACAGCCCCGUACACAAAAAUGCACAUGCUGUGAGCUCGAUGAGUAGGGCGGGACACGUGGUAUCCUGUCUGAAUAUGGGGGGACCAUCCUCCAAGGCUAAAUACUCCUGACUGACCGAUAGUGAACCAGUACCGUGAGGGAAAGGCGAAAAGAACCCCGGCGAGGGGAGUGAAAAAGAACCUGAAACCGUGUACGUACAAGCAGUGGGAGCACGCUUAGGCGUGUGACUGCGUACCUUUUGUAUAAUGGGUCAGCGACUUAUAUUCUGUAGCAAGGUUAACCGAAUAGGGGAGCCGAAGGGAAACCGAGUCUUAACUGGGCGUUAAGUUGCAGGGUAUAGACCCGAAACCCGGUGAUCUAGCCAUGGGCAGGUUGAAGGUUGGGUAACACUAACUGGAGGACCGAACCGACUAAUGUUGAAAAAUUAGCGGAUGACUUGUGGCUGGGGGUGAAAGGCCAAUCAAACCGGGAGAUAGCUGGUUCUCCCCGAAAGCUAUUUAGGUAGCGCCUCGUGAAUUCAUCUCCGGGGGUAGAGCACUGUUUCGGCAAGGGGGUCAUCCCGACUUACCAACCCGAUGCAAACUGCGAAUACCGGAGAAUGUUAUCACGGGAGACACACGGCGGGUGCUAACGUCCGUCGUGAAGAGGGAAACAACCCAGACCGCCAGCUAAGGUCCCAAAGUCAUGGUUAAGUGGGAAACGAUGUGGGAAGGCCCAGACAGCCAGGAUGUUGGCUUAGAAGCAGCCAUCAUUUAAAGAAAGCGUAAUAGCUCACUGGUCGAGUCGGCCUGCGCGGAAGAUGUAACGGGGCUAAACCAUGCACCGAAGCUGCGGCAGCGACGCUGAUGCGUUGUUGGGUAGGGGAGCGUUCUGUAAGCCUGCGAAGGUGUGCUGUGAGGCAUGCUGGAGGUAUCAGAAGUGCGAAUGCUGACAUAAGUAACGAUAAAGCGGGUGAAAAGCCCGCUCGCCGGAAGACCAAGGGUUCCUGUCCAACGUUAAUCGGGGCAGGGUGAGUCGACCCCUAAGGCGAGGCCGAAAGGCGUAGUCGAUGGGAAACAGGUUAAUAUUCCUGUACUUGGUGUUACUGCGAAGGGGGGACGGAGAAGGCUAUGUUGGCCGGGCGACGGUUGUCCCGGUUUAAGCGUGUAGGCUGGUUUUCCAGGCAAAUCCGGAAAAUCAAGGCUGAGGCGUGAUGACGAGGCACUACGGUGCUGAAGCAACAAAUGCCCUGCUUCCAGGAAAAGCCUCUAAGCAUCAGGUAACAUCAAAUCGUACCCCAAACCGACACAGGUGGUCAGGUAGAGAAUACCAAGGCGCUUGAGAGAACUCGGGUGAAGGAACUAGGCAAAAUGGUGCCGUAACUUCGGGAGAAGGCACGCUGAUAUGUAGGUGAAGUCCCUCGCGGAUGGAGCUGAAAUCAGUCGAAGAUACCAGCUGGCUGCAACUGUUUAUUAAAAACACAGCACUGUGCAAACACGAAAGUGGACGUAUACGGUGUGACGCCUGCCCGGUGCCGGAAGGUUAAUUGAUGGGGUCAGCGCAAGCGAAGCUCUUGAUCGAAGCCCCGGUAAACGGCGGCCGUAACUAUAACGGUCCUAAGGUAGCGAAAUUCCUUGUCGGGUAAGUUCCGACCUGCACGAAUGGCGUAAUGAUGGCCAGGCUGUCUCCACCCGAGACUCAGUGAAAUUGAACUCGCUGUGAAGAUGCAGUGUACCCGCGGCAAGACGGAAAGACCCCGUGAACCUUUACUAUAGCUUGACACUGAACAUUGAGCCUUGAUG